ensembl:lncRNA
ACACUGGACACACACACACUGGACACACACACACACUGGACACACACACACUGGACACACACUGGACAAACACACACUGGACAAACACACACUGGACAAACACACACUGGACAAACACACACUGGACAAACACACACUGGACAAAUACACACUGGACAAAUACACACACACUAGACAAACACACACACAAACACAGUGGACACAAACACAGUGGACACACACACACACACACACACACACACACACACACUGGACACACACACACACACACUGGACACACACACACACACACACACACACACACACACACACACACACACACACACUGAACACACACACACUCACACACUGGACUCACAGACACACACUGGACACACACACUCACACACACACACUGGUCACACACACACUGAACACACACACUCUGGACACACACACACACUGGACUCACAGACACACAUUGGACAAAUACACACACACACACACACACACUGGACAAAUACACACACACAAACACAGUGGACAAACAUAUACACACAGGACACACACUCUGGACACACACACAUUCUGGACACACACACACAUGCGCAUCUUUCUAUAGUUGUGAGGACCUCUUACAACAACACUGUUAAAAUACCAAUGUAAUCAUGUGUUGUCUUUUAUGUUGAAAAACUAAUUAUACAAUUAUAUAUAAUUAUAUAUGGACAUACGCUCCAUAGUUGUACAAGUGUACCAGUAUAUAUUGUACUUUUCAUAAUAAAACAUACUUGAAACAAGAAAAGCUUGUUAAUUGUGAAAACAGUUUGGUUAUUUGAUUUUACGUUUCCUC